UACAUGGGGUGCAAACGUUGCUCGGAAUUACUGGGCGUAAAGCGUGCGUAGGCGGUUCGCUGUGUCCGAUGUGAAAGCCCCGGGCUUAACCUGGGAAUGGCAUUGGAAACUGGCGGGCUUGAGUGCGGCAGAGGGGGUGGAAUUCCGCGUGUAGCAGUGAAAUGCGUAGAGAUGCGGAGGAACACCGAUGGCGAAGGCAGCCCCCUGGGUCGACACUGACGCUCAGGCACGAAAGCGUGGGGAGCAAACAGG
rnacentral:rRNA from 1 species